rnacentral:tRNA from 1 species
GACUCCGUACUUUAAACUAAAAGACCUGAUUUGCAUUUAGAAAAUGAAUUAACUUAAUUCCGGAGCCA